CAAUGUGUGUGUUUGCAUAGGAACAUUGAUAAACUGAAUAAAGGAACUAUUAGUCAGGGGGAAGAGCAAGAGCCACAGAGAGCAGGUUUGGCCUGGAGAUUUCCGACCCUCAGUUUGAGCGGCUGUUGAACAGGCUUCCUCUUGACCGUAACGGAAAUGUGCAGUACCCCGUCUUCAUGGCAGCCUUCGACACCAGGAAAGGAGUUCCCAGCCUCUUCCAGGCAGCUGCCCAGUCUGCCUUGAAUAAUGAUUCAAGUCAGGAGAAGGGCUCAGUGGAACCAGAUUGGAGUGACCAUUAGGUUAGAACUCCAUCCUAGGUAACUCGUGGAGAGGUUGUGGUCUUUGCUCACCCAGCAGGAUGGAACUGUGUAAUUUUAAGAGUUUAUAUGUAAUUUUGGCCCUUCGCCCAAAUCCUGCUGCUACCCCAAUGCCAAGCACAAUCCCCCCAAACGUGGAGAUAAUGUCCUCAUGUGCCUCUACAAAAGACUCAACUACGUGUCAGAUAUACUAAUUGAUGCUCUACGGGCCAAGCCUGCCUGCCUGCCUGCCUUCCUGUCUCUGCAGGUGGAGUUGUCUGUUUCUGAUCUCUGGACUGAGUUCUCUGAAAUGGAUUUUUCUGGAACAGGCUUUGUUAACAGUGAGGAAUUUAAAAAGAUACUUUUGGGUCUCUGGCCAGGAAAUUUGACAUCAAUCACGAUGGCAGAAUAUAACCAAAAACGGGAACAAAACGAUUUUCAGUUGUUCUGGAUUGAAAACUUUAUUUUUAAAUGCUGGUAACCAGAUAUAACUGGUUAAUUUUGUUCCAAUAUUUGUUAUUUUUUCAUGAAACCAAAGGCCAAAGGGUUUAUCACUGUACAUUUUUCAACUACACCACUUCAUGUUGCCUGAAAAAAAUUAAACAUGUGCUUUGAUCCUGAAGGAAACUGCUGCAUCACACAUUUCUUUGCCUAAUUCCCCAUUAUGGAUGUCACAUUCUGUGAAGACCUUUUUAACAACUUAAAAAUUAUUAAUUUUUAAAAUUAUUAAAAUUAUUGUAUUAUGACUACAUACAGUAUAUAUGCACGCAGGGGCGCAAUUACACAUUUCUGAGUGGGUCCAUGUAUCUGUCAAGCUAUUCGGGGGCGAGGAGGCUGAUUGCACCACCUUUAGUGAGCCGCUGGCGCCCCCCUUUACAUGGCGCCCUUCUGCAUUGCAUACUUUGCAUAUAUGAUUUUUGCUCCUUUGCAUGCAUGGUUAAUCCAGAUAUAAGUAAAACAUUAUUAGAGGUAAAAAGUUAAUUUCUCUGUUGUUUCCAAGUCUUCACUGAAUUAUUGUUAGAGAUUAUGCAUUAAUACAGGUUUGAUGCUGCCGGAUUUUGACUGAGAAGCAGAUUUGUAAUUAAAAUGAUACUUCAUUAUAAUUAUAAUUGAUUGUAUGCUUGUUAUGAUUUCUAUGCUGAUAAGUCCACCACACAGGAAAACAUUUCUUUGCUUAUUUUUGCUUAUUUUGGUCAAGCAAGUGGCUUACUAGGAAGGUGCUGGAACCCAAUUGUAUUUGUACUGAUUUUCUUUUUGUUCUUCCUCUUAUUUUUCUGCCCUAAAAGUGUCUGGGCAUCAGAGACCGUAAGUCGUAGAGACCCCAAACUUGGCAGGGUGGUUCAGAAUCCCAACCGCUACUCAGGCGUAAAGACACACACCCAUCCGACUCUAGGUGGCACUAUAAAAAGAGUGUCCUACACAGAAUUCCUCAGGCCUUUCAUAUCCCAGAGUCAAACAUGGAAGCAUGGAUCCAAUAUGGCAGCUGCCCUUCAAUCACCCAGAGAAACUAAAGAAUUUGACACCCCAGGAACAUAAAGUUGCAGGAUCAGGAAGAGGCUCCAGCGUAAGGUCAGGGAUCUGCGCAGGGCCUGUGCCCGACUUGAUGCCUUCAGUACUGGGCUUCUGUCUGCAGCCGAACUGGGUGCUGUGCUACAGCUGUGUAGAGUGUGUGAGAACCAGAAAGAACUGAGGGUUUUCUCUAUCCUUCACACGCACCCCUCUGGACGCUUGGACUACCGCCCACUCUUAAUGGACAAACACAGGACAUCCAGUCACAACCAGCAAACCAAACACCAGCUCAGCCAAUAGGUCAGAGUUUGAAGACAAAUGACAGCUACAUUGACAGUGUGUGUUUGUAGCUUGUAUCAGUGACCAUCUUUUCAUAGAGCGAUUCAAAAGCCAUUUUUACAAGUGUUCAAUUUAAACAAAUAAAUGUUAUUCACUUCAUACAGAAAGAGAGCAUUACUUGACCCAAUAUAAUGGUGUUAUAAAGGUGGGCUUUUAUUAUAGUAUUUUGUUACAUUAGAUUUGGUUAAACUGUAUGCAUUGUAUUUCAUUGCUUUAUACAGCACAGUGUAUGUUUUCACAUAUAACUUCCCCUAAACUAAAAGAUAAUCCUAAAUAUAAAAUGCUAGAUCAUUGCAAUACAAUAUUUCAGACUAAGUGUGAAUGCAUUAUUUCAUUUUUAAAUUUUGCUGUGCAAUUUAAAAUCAUGUCAUUUUUAUGCCAAAAAUGUAGACUUGGUGUGAAUAGGAUUUCAGGCUUAUGAUUCAUUUUUAUACCCACAUACUGUGUGCACAUAAGAAUAUGAAACACCACACAGACAUGACAGUGUUUCAUGUGUUUCAGCUGUGUUUAAUUUCGAGAACACCCCCAGAUAUCUAAAAAAAACAAAACAAAAAAAAAACAAUCAUUAGUAUGAAUAAAACAUUCAAUGGAAAUAUACUUUCUUGGCCACUUUCUUUGGCAGUACCCAGUGCUCUUUCAUCACUUUCGUCUUUCAUGGCAUUAUUUUUUUCCCAUCUGCAUGCCCUCUUUGUCUUUCCUCCCUCUUCUCUCCUCUUUUCCGCACCAACAUUUUGAACACUGUUUGGCAAACAGCUUUUAUCCAUCCCAUCAACUGUUCAUCCACCUGUCUGUCUGUCUGUCUGUUCAUCCAUCAAUUCCUCACCCUGACAGUUGGAUGAGAGACACCUGUGCUUUUAUUCUUUCCAAAAAGGCAGACGUAGGUGUUUAGAGUGUGUGUAUAUAUACACAAAACAGGGCUUAGUUUUCACUUUGGAUAUCAGAGGGUCUUGGUGAGAUCAGGAUGCAGACAUGUCCCUGUUCUCUGCAUGUUUGAAACUUAUUUAAGCAAUAUUUGUAUACAUUUUGGGUGCAUGUAUUUGUGUCUUUCAGUCUCAUGACUGAAUGCUGGCCCCCUGUUUAGGAGCUUUGAUUUCAUGGACCUGAUUAUUUUUCUUCUGGUCCACUCAAGGAUGAAGCCCAAGGAACCCAAGAUUGUCUUCCUUUCAGCCCCACCACAAUGGAGCACCCCCCGCCAAACAACCAAAUACUUGCCUGCCUUCUCCAGAUUCCCUCUCCCUCUCUCUUGCUUUCUCUUUAUGUGUUGCUUUCUUGGAAGCUGAUGCUAUACAACUUACUUAAAGAAAGACUUAAAAGUGUUUGAUGAAUUUAGGCUUUUAGAGGGAGGGCUCCCGUGCUUAAAGUACUAUAUAGACAGAAUCCUUCUUGCCUGCUACCAGUCCAACAUGAUCACACGGGAAGUUGGCAUGUUGUUUCCGAGAGUUCUAGCACCCUAGGUUCAGCUACAUUAUGUCACCUUACUAACAAGCGGAAUCUCCUAUCAGAAAUUUUUGCAUCAGCUCCACUGCUUACCUUCCCCUGUGGUGCCACCAGAAACGCGUUGUCUCAGCAGCCUGGUAGACCCGGGUUUUUGACAUGGCGGUCCGUAAACUGUACAAGCAAAAACCUUGAAACACAAGAAUAACACACUAUAAUAUUCUAUCUCUGCCCAGACGUAAACCUCUUACUUGAAUCGCAUGAGGACACAGGUAGAAUGUGUUUUCCUCCGUCCUUUAACUUUGACCCGGUUCCUUGAGGCUCGGGUGAUGACAGGAGGCCGUUUCCUCGCUCUGUCGGCGGGCGGUACGGUUGUUGAUUGUCGGUGGGCGGUGCAGCUGUUGAUUCUCGGCGGGCUGGCGGAAAACUCAGAAAUGUCGACUUGAUUGAAGAUGGAAGGGAAAUCUUUAAUCUCUUCACUUCUGUAGGCAAACGGAUGAAGAUGCGAAUUGCUUGGCGGUCUCCUUCAGAUCCGUUAGAGUGUUUGGUUGAACACAGAGUAAUCUCAACUCGUCCAGCAAGAUGGAGAUUGUAUGGCUACAGUUUCAAGUUGGACAUUACUCCCUUGUGCCACGAGGUUGCACCGGAGAGCAGCAAAAGCUACGUCUUUAUUCAGUGAGGAAGUCGCUGGAAGCGAAAUCUUUAAGCAUUUCAGAAUUAUUUGAACUCCUGAUGAUGUCAUGUUUGAGGGACGUUCUGUUGUGUGCCUCAUCCAAUAGGAGUUGAGAGCUCGAUCCUUUAGUGAGCAAGGCUUCCUGGAUUUGUAGUCUGUUUUGGACUCCCUUUGUUUGAUUUUGGCGUGAUUUUUAUCAGUAAAAUUUACGACAUGGAAUGUGUGGGGGCUGAGUUAGGUUUUACGACUUUUAGGCCUGCCUUUGUCUUCUAUCUGAAUACAUGAGGCCCAACACUCCUCACAGUAGGAGGAGACAAUAUAGACACAUGUCCUUUUCCAGGCCUAUUCUUUUUUUUUAAAAUUUGUAUCCCCUUUUCUCCCAAUUUGGAAUGCCCAAUUCCCACAACUUAUUUGGUCCUCGUGGUGGCACAGUUACUCACCUCAAUCCAGGUGGCAGAGGACAAGUCUCAGUUGCCUCUGCUUCUGAGACUGUCAAUCCACGCAUCUUAUCACAUGGCUCUUUGUGCAAGACACAUUUGGAGGCUCAUGCUACUCUCCGCGAUCCAUGCACAACUUACCACACGCCCCACUGAGAGUGAGAACCACUAAUCAUGACUACGAGGAGGUUACCCCAUGUGUCUCUACCCUCCCUAGCAACCGGGCCAAUUUGGUUGCUUAGGAGACCUGGCUGGAGUCACUCAGCACAGCCUGGACUCGAACUCGCGACUCCAGGGGUGGUAGUCAGCAUCAUUACUCGCUGAGCUACCCAGGCCCCCAGGCCGAUUCUUAAGAUCUCCAGUUGAUUGGAACUUCUUAAUUAUUGACCUGAUGGUAGAAAUGGGCAUUUUCAAUGCUUUGACUAUUUUCUUAUAACCACUUCCCAUUUUGUGCAGCUCAAAAACCUUUUGCCGCACAUCAGAACUAUAUUCUUUAGUCUAACCCACUGUGAUUGAUGAUUAAGGGAAUUUGGCCUGUGUGUUACCUCAUAUUUAUACCCCUGUGAAACAGGAAGUCAUGGCUGAACAAUUACAUGUUCCUAGUCACCCAGAUGCACUAAAAACUGUAAAAUAUGAAUGGGAAUAUACUUAAGAUAUAUUUUACUCAUAAGAAUUUCUGGGGGUGCCAAAAAUUGUAGCCAACGUGUUUUGGAGAAAAAUAUUUAUUUAAUAAUUAGAUAUUUCCCCUCUCUCAAUUGUUUUACUUCAAUUAAAGGUUAGAUUUUUGUGAGUUUUUUUGAAUGAAAGAUCAAAAGGAUAAGCAAUGCCAAUAUUUACCAAGGGUGCCACUGUAUAUAAGAGGCCAAUAUUGACCUGUUUCAUGUGACAUAUUCGCUCCUACAUUCAUACAGAUGGGAUCAUCACAGAUGUUUUUAAAUACUGUCACUAAAUCAGUCCAGAAAACAACACAAAAACAUUUGUAACUUCUGAAUGAGAGAUGUUUACGGUUAUGUACAGUACCGGUGGCCGUGUGUACUCGCCGGUCACACAUCAGACUCGUCGGCGUAUGGAGAUGAAUAGUGGACAAAAUAUCUUUAAAUGUCCAUGAAAGUUCAAUUUGCCAAUAUGUGUGCUGUCUUCAGACCUGUGUGAACCUUUCCUGGGACUGGGCAUGGACCAAAAGCCAUUUUUGAUGUUUUUCUUGAUAUAGUUUCUCGGGUGUUUUUCCAUUCACCACCAUUAUGUCCUCCCGCUUAUUGUCACAAAUAUGGCGGCUGUGGCGAAAAGUGACAUCACUGAAACAGGUCAAUAAGAGAAGCUUACUAACUUGAAAGGUAAAGUUUUUUUUUUUUUUUUUUUACAAAACACUAAAUAACAGCAAAAACUUCCACAGCACUUUCCAAAACACCUGUUUGUCACUAUGCACUGCACACAAUUUCUUAUCCUUGAGGUCGCGUGCAAUGCCUAAAGGCUAAGGUUUUGAGGUAAUUUGAUUUAACUUUUAUUCACUUUUCAAAUUGCUUCCAAUUAUGUAACUAAUGAGAGGCCCUGAAAUUAUCACAUUUACUUUGAGACAAAAUGCUUGUUUGUCAUUUUCAGUUUUGUUCAAGGUGAUCAAAUUUUUAACAACUAUCCAAUAAGUGAAAAGAAUGUAAUUGGGGUAACUUGUUGCAGGGGCUAAAGCCCCCACUAAAUAUAUAUGUUAGGAUGUUCAAAGUGGGCUCAUGUUGACUAAUCUAAUCACAGUGGAGAUUCUUUUGUUUAUAGAAUACUUGAGAUGUUAUAAAAUACCAAAUGUGACUGAAAUUAACAGGAAAUGGUGCACCCUUUUCUGAAGUGGUUAUUUUGAAUAAGCAUUAUUUUAUUUUGUUAAAUAAAAUAAUUCUCAGAAGUAUUAAUAAUUCAUCAAUUGCUGUUGUGCUUUUUUGUUGUUGUGUUUUUUUUUUUUUUUUUUUA